CGCGUCUGGUGUGAAAACCUCAGGCUCAACCUGGGGCGUGCAUCGGGUACGGGCAGACUAGAGUGCGGUAGGGGAGACUGGAAUUCCUGGUGUAGCGGUGGAAUGCGCAGAUAUCAGGAGGAACACCGAUGGCGAAGGCAGGUCUCUGGGCCGCAACUGACGCUGAGGAGCGAAAGCAUGGGGAGCGAACAGGAUUAGAUACCCUGGUAGUCCAUGCCGUAAACGUUGGGCACUAGGUGUGGGGCUCAUUCCACGAGUUCCGUGCCGCAGCUAACGCAUUAAGUGCCCCGCCUGGGGAGUACGGCCGCAAGGCUAAAACUCAAAGGAAUUGACGGGGGCCCGCACAAGCGGCGGAGCAUGCGGAUUAAUUCGAUGCAACGCGAAGAACCUUACCAAGGCUUGACAUGCACCGGAAACACUCAGAGAUGGGUGCCCCGUAAGGUCGGUGCACAGGUGGUGCAUGGUUGUCGUCAGCUCGUGUCGUGAGAUGUUGGGUUAAGUCCCGCAACGAGCGCAACCCUCGUCCCAUGUUGCCAGCGGGUUAUGCCGGGGACUCAUGGGAGACUGCCGGGGUCAACUCGGAGGAAGGCGGGGAUGACGUCAAAUCAUCAUGCCCCUUAUGUCUUGGGCUUCACGCAUGUGACAAUGGCCGGUACAGAGGGCUGCGAUACCGCAAGGUGGAGCGAAUCCCAAAAAGCCGGUCUCAGUUCGGAUUGGGGUCUGCAACUCGACCCCAUGAAGUCGGAGUCGCUAGUAAUCGCAGAUCAGCAACGCUGCGGUGAAUACGUUCCCGGGCCUUGUACACACCGCCCGUCAAGUCACGAAAGUUGGUAACACCCGAAGCCCAUGGCCCAACCCUU
rnacentral:rRNA from 1 species